rfam:Strongylocentrotus purpuratus Contig11538_fixed, whole genome shotgun sequence.
GGAUUGAUGGCUUAGUGGUAGAGCAGUGGACACAUAACCGAGGGUCCCAGGUUCAAUACCAAGUCAAUCUA